rnacentral:snRNA from 1 species
UUCUCUCCUUAUGCUUUCUUCAU